AGAGUUUGAUCCUGGCUCAGGACGAACGCUGGCGGCGUGCCUAAUACAUGCAAGUAGAACGCUGAAGAGAGGAGCUUGCUCUUCUUGGAUGAGUUGCGAACGGGUGAGUAACGCGUAGGUAACCUGCCUUGUAGCGGGGGAUAACUAUUGGAAACGAUAGCUAAUACCGCAUAACAAUGGAUGACACAUGUCAUUUAUUUGAAAGGGGCAAUUGCUCCACUACAAGAUGGACCUGCGUUGUAUUAGCUAGUAGGUGAGGUAAUGGCUCACCUAGGCGACGAUACAUAGCCGACCUGCGAGGGUGAUCGGCCACACUGGGACUGAGACACGGCCCAGACUCCUACGGGAGGCAGCAGUAGGGAAUCUUCGGCAAUGGGGGCAACCCUGACCGAGCAACGCCGCGUGAGUGAAGAAGGUUUUCGGAUCGUAAAGCUCUGUUGUAAGUCAAGAACGGGUGUGAGAGUGGAAAGUUCACACUGUGACGGUAGCUUACCAGAAAGGGACGGCUAACUACGUGCCAGCAGCCGCGGUAAUACGUAGGUCCCGAGCGUUGUCCGGAUUUAUUGGGCGUAAAGCGAGCGCAGGCGGUUUGAUAAGUCUGAAGUUAAAGGCUGUGGCUCAACCAUAGUUCGCUUUGGAAACUGUCAAACUUGAGUGCAGAAGGGGAGAGUGGGAUUCCAUGUGUAGCGGUGAAAUGCGUAGAUAUAUGGAGGAACACCGGUGGCGAAAGCGGCUCUCUGGUCUGUAACUGACGCUGAGGCUCGAAAGCGUGGGGAGCGAACAGGAUUAGAUACCCUGGUAGUCCACGCCGUAAACGAUGAGUGCUAGGUGUUGGAUCCUUUCCGGGAUUCAGUGCCGCAGCUAACGCAUUAAGCACUCCGCCUGGGGAGUACGACCGCAAGGUUGAAACUCAAAGGAAUUGACGGGGGCCCGCACAAGCGGUGGAGCAUGUGGUUUAAUUCGAAGCAACGCGAAGAACCUUACCAGGUCUUGACAUCCCGAUGCUAUUUCUAGAGAUAGAAAGUUACUUCGGUACAUCGGUGACAGGUGGUGCAUGGUUGUCGUCAGCUCGUGUCGUGAGAUGUUGGGUUAAGUCCCGCAACGAGCGCAACCCCUAUUGUUAGUUGCCAUCAUUCAGUUGGGCACUCUAGCGAGACUGCCGGUAAUAAACCGGAGGAAGGUGGGGAUGACGUCAAAUCAUCAUGCCCCUUAUGACCUGGGCUACACACGUGCUACAAUGGUUGGUACAACGAGUUGCGAGUCGGUGACGGCGAGCUAAUCUCUUAAAGCCAAUCUCAGUUCGGAUUGUAGGCUGCAACUCGCCUACAUGAAGUCGGAAUCGCUAGUAAUCGCGGAUCAGCACGCCGCGGUGAAUACGUUCCCGGGCCUUGUACACACCGCCCGUCACACCACGAGAGUUUGUAACACCCGAAGUCGGUGAGGUAACCUUUUGGAGCCAGCCGCCUAAGGUGGGACAGAUGAUUGGGGUGAAGUCGUAACAAGGUA
rnacentral:rRNA from 1 species